rnacentral:tRNA from 9 species
CGGGAUGUGGCUCAGCUUGGCAGAGCACCUGGUUUGGGACCAGGGGGUCGCAGGUUCGAAUCCUGUCAUCCCGACCA